GCAAUCUAUGAAUUUCAUCGUGCGAAUUUUUAUGCAUUCACUCAAAAUGCUCAAAUCUGCUAUUUUGGAGUCGGCAGGAGUAAAACUCUGGUGAGAUCCGAUUAAAAUUUGUUUGUAGUAAAAUCCUCUAAUGUUAACCCUCCAUCAAGGAGAACAUUUUGAUAAUCGGCACACCAUGAACCUUCUCUAUGAUAUACGCUCUCUGUUUAUAAUAGGCAACACAAAAAUCAGAUCAAUACAUGAUAUACAUACAUGUGUGUUCGAUCGGUGUGUACACAAGUAUGUCGGUAUGGCCUUUUUUUUUUUUUGUAUAGUAGGGGAACUUUAA